CCGAGGCACGGGCACAACUUUGCUCCUAUCAGCGGCAAUGACAAUGUUGGACAUUUUGAUUUUGGAGGUCUAAAUAAAACGCAAAAAGACUUUUGAAACAACAUAACAAUGAUAGAAUUUUUCUUUAAUACCUUAUUACAAUCGUUCUCUAAGAGUGGAACUUGGAUCGGACGAGAACUGAAAAUCAGAGCAACUGAAUUCGGAGGAUGGGGAUGCAUAACAUGGUAUUACAAUAGAAGAUUCACCAAAGAGACAACCUUGUAAUCAUGUCUUUAACAAGUAUAUAUUGCAAGCUGAUGGAGGAGAACCAAAGUAUGAAACGAUAUGAACAAAUGGACGAAUGGACUAAAGUCAUGUAGAAGCAGCUCAAAUCCUUGCAUCAGAACCAAGACUGAUUUGAUGAACUUCCAUAACAGUAAGAGGAGAAUCUGGUUCACAAAUUGGCCAAGAGUUGUGAUUGAUUGGAAUAAGGUACAAAGCCAUGGUACAAGAAAUUUGAUUUAUUGUUGGUGAUCCAGUGCAUCCUUCGUCGUGAAGGCUUUGGGACCAACAAAACAGAUUUCUAGGGACAACAGAAGCAUGGAGCUCAAUUAUCUAAAAAAUACUACAUUAUGAAACUAGGACAAGCCAUUUGUUAGUACUUAUUGGUCAUUUCAAGCUCAACUCUCAACACGCCCUACACGUGAGAAGAUAAAGGAAA
rnacentral:lncRNA from 1 species